rnacentral:lncRNA from 1 species
GAAGGGGCUGCAUUACACAUUAAAAAUUGGCUUGUGGAAGGCUGCCCUUCCACUUUUUGGCUUCUUCUGGGGUCAAAAGAUCCCCCUUCAUGCCUUGAGGGACAACAUCAAAACCACGGUCAUCUUUUGGGCUAAGAACCAUAGCCGUUUCAAACACCUCUUAGCCUUGGAUUUCCACCUCAAUUGGCAGGCCUUACUCUCUCUUAGACCAAACCGUUUCCCUCGA